rnacentral:lncRNA from 1 species
NNNNNNNNNNNNNNNNNNNNNNNNNNNNNNNNNNNNNNNNNNNNNNNGGAGCGGCGCGCGGACACGCGCCGGGACACGCGGACACGGACACGGGCACGCGGCGGGACACACGGACACGGACACGGGCACGCGGCGGGAGCGGCGCGCGGACACGCGCCGGGACACGCGGACACGGACAYGGGCACGUGGCGGGACCGGCACACGGACACGCAGACACGCAGUGGGACCAACAUGCGGACACACUGACGUGCACUGGGGCACACACUGGGAUGGACAUGUGGACAGAAACAUGGACACACGCCAGGAUGGACAUGUGGACACACGGACACGCAGUGGGACACACACUGGGACAGACACUGGAACAGACACACGGACAGAACCAUGGACACACACCCCAGGACAGACAGUGGGACAGACACACACUGGGAUGGACACAUGGAGACAUACUGGGACAGACACUGGGACAGACACCAGGACAAAUAUGCAGACAGAAACAUGGACAGACAUCAGGACAGACACAUGGACACACACCAGGACAGACAGACAGACCCUGGGACAGACACGUGGACACAUGGGCAUACACCUGGACAGAAAGACUCUGGGAAGGACACACAGACAGACCCUGGGACACAGGGACAGACCCUGGGACACCGGAACAGAUGCACAGACACUGGGACAGACACAGGGACAGACAGCAGGACACAGGGACAGAUACACAGACACUGGGACAGACACACGGACAGACACUGGGACAGGCACACACAGAGACAGGGACAGACACUGGGACAUAAGGGUGUGCUCACAGACAGAGAAACACAUCAGGACAGACAGACGGACACACACAUGGAUACACACCAGAACGACACCAGGACAGACACCAGGACAGCAGGACAGACAGACAGAUACACUGGGACACACACAUGGACCCACACAUAGACCGAGAGACGCAGCAGGACACACACAAGGACAGACACACGGACACACAGACAGACACACAGACACAUGGAGAGGCACACUGGGACAGAAAAACACAGGGACAGACACACAGACGUGGGCAGACGGACACAAACACAGUCAAAGACAUGGACACACAGCCACACGCUGGGCCAGAGGCAUGGACAUACAAAUGGACAGACAGUCACAUGUAGAUACACAGACAGACACACACCAGACGCAGACACACACUGGGAGAGAGACAAAACUACACCAGGACAGACGACAGAUGCCGCAACAGACUGACACACAGACAGACACACGUGGGGACACGGGGACCAGGACACCCGGACCCUGGCACAAACACACACAGACAGGGACAGUCACGCACCCUCGGAGACAGCUACAUGGGUAUGAGGACAGACACACACCCCAGACAGACACACAGCGAGACAGACACCCAGGUGGCUAACAAGACACACGCACAAGGCCAGACACUAAGAUACACACGCACACGCCUGUGCACUUGGAGA